rnacentral:rRNA from 1 species
CACUUCGGUGGGGAUUAGUGGCGAACGGGUGAGUAACACGUGGGCAAUCUGCCCUUCACUCUGGGACAAGCCCUGGAAACGGGGUCUAAUACCGGAUACAACACUCUCGGGCAUCCGAUGAGUGUGGAAAGCUCCGGCGGUGAAGGAUGAGCCCGCGGCCUAUCAGCUUGUUGGUGAGGUAACGGCUCACCAAGGCGACGACGGGUAGCCGGCCUGAGAGGGCGACCGGCCACACUGGGACUGAGACACGGCCCAGACUCCUACGGGAGGCAGCAGUGGGGAAUAUUGCACAAUGGGCGAAAGCCUGAUGCAGCGACGCCGCGUGAGGGAUGACGGCCUUCGGGUUGUAAACCUCUUUCAGCAGGGAAGAAGCGAAAGUGACGGUACCUGCAGAAGAAGCGCCGGCUAACUACGUGCCAGCAGCCGCGGUAAUACGUAGGGCGCGAGCGUUGUCCGGAAUUAUUGGGCGUAAAGAGCUCGUAGGCGGUCUGUCGCGUCGGAUGUGAAAGCCCGGGGCUUAACCCCGGGUCUGCAUUCGAUACGGGCAGACUAGAGUGUGGUAGGGGAGAUCGGAAUUCCUGGUGUA